rnacentral:tRNA from 1 species
CGGGGUGCAGCUUAGGCUGGCAGAGCGCCACGUUCGGGACGCAGAGGCCGAAGGCUCGAAUCCUCUCACCCCGC